rnacentral:lncRNA from 12 species
AUGGAUGCCCCCAGAAAACUGGGGUGUGUCCUUGCCAGUGUUUUGGGCGUGAAGUCACACCGAUGCAGCAGCUUCAUGGCCCUUGGGGUCCUUGCAGUGGCCUCCCAGGGUCUCAGGGCAGGGUGGGCGGGUGCUGCAUGCCCGCGCAGUUGGGGUCUCCUUCCUGAGACCCGGUGUCUCUCUCUCUGUCUCUCCUUCCAGGACUCAUACCUUCUUCCAGCCACCCUGUUCUGCAGCAGAGCCCUGAAGCUCAGACGACCGUGCCUCCCUCAGAAGUUGCGUGAAGCUCCUUUUGCAAGGAGCCAUCUGUCUCGGGAGUCCACGGUGGGAGAGCUCGGGCCAGCUGCUGGGGACUGCUCGGGAGUAUCUUUGGAGUGCACAGAGCUCAGGGGCUCAGCAGGCAGCAGGAUGACCGUACAGCCCAGUUGCCACAGGUGUGAGAACAUGCUCAGGGCCAGAGGGGAGGACCACCCCUCCUGCGUGCACACAUGCCCUCCCACGGCCCAGCGGACCAGCAAGGUGCAGCCAAUCGUCUCCAUUCUGUGCAGCCAGAAACGGAGGCCAGGGGCCGUGAAGAGCUCGGCUCUGGCCUCAUCUGUGGUCCCGGAGGGUCAUCGGGAUGAUGGAGCCCCUUCGGGAUGCUGA